GAAGAACUUGUUAAUAGUCUGGAAGUAUUUUAAGGGCAGAACUGAAAGGAUCUGCUGGUACAAUGAACAAAGUAAUGAUAUAAAAAUAUGUACAGAAAGAAGGCUUUUCUGGGGUAUAUAGAAAAGAGACUGGUUUUGUCAGUCUCGUGACACUGAUAUGCCAAAUAGUAGCACAACCAUCUAGAAAUUCAACAUUGGAACUUGGGACUUUUUGUGUCAUCUAUUAUUUCUCCCAAAGAACAAACAAAAAAAGAACGGUCAAAUAUAUUCAGUAUCAAAGUCUGUACUUGCAAUUAAGUGAGCUGGUUUGGGGCUUGAUCAUAUUUCAGCAUUCUGACAUGAAUGAGAUAAUUGUUCAGCAGACAUAAACAUUUCAAAGUAAAAAUGACACUUACCCAUGAGAAGAUUGUAAAGCUCAUUGGGUAGUUACAACAAGGGUAAACAUUUUUAUCGAGAACAAAGAUCUCCCCUGAUUUAUCCUGACUGACGGUCCAUACUUCAAACUGAUCUGACAACUGCUCAGACUUCUGACCCUUUGCCUACUGGGCUACACGGAAAGCGCUGUGGAUCAGAUUCAACCUUGCAUUCUUCACGAUCUGGCGCUGGCAAAUAGAGGUGCACAACACGUAGUCAUUGACACGGUGAUUUCUUAACAUCCUUCACCGCCCUCUCUUCUGUCCUCGUUCUGUAGUGCUCAGUAGCGCUAUAUUUUACUUUCCGAAGUCAGGGUCAGAUAAUCACCACAAAUAAGAAAUUUCAGAAUGUGUUGGGCCUGGGUAGGCUGGCACGUGGAGGGAGCGAUCCAGAGGGCUCCUCGGCCUGGGAAGCCAGGGAAGGCUUGGGGCGGUGCGGGAGAAGGAGUGCUCUGGGCUGCCGCGUGCCCCAUGAAUGCAAACGUGGAGGGAGGAGUUACAGCACAGGUGGGAUGUAGGGAAGGCCUUCCCAAGUACAAAGGCCCUUGAGACAGAGGACGGCCUGGAAUGACCGCGGUGCACGAGAGAGCAGGCGCACCUGGACCUUCGGGAGGAGAAACACGCAGGGGCUGAAAGGUGGUUUUUCCAAAUUACGUUAGAUCCGUAAAACCUCCUUGUUUUGCGGCGAGAUUCAGCGAAGGCUGAAAGGGCGCGGGAGGCGGAUUGGUUACUUCGGCCUCCAUCCUCAGGGGAACGCGCCACCGAGCGCACCCAAGUUCUCCCGUGGCCACUGCAGCUCAUUUCCUCCUACCUUGAGGUCUCUCAACCAAUGAGUUUGCCUCUUCACCCAGAAAAUUAACUAUCGGUGACAGUUCUACGGCUGGAGAGUGAGAUCUGAGAAUCGAGAGACAUUUUAUGGAGUCUUUGAGAGACCUAAGUAUUUAGUAGGCACUUUACUGAGCACCUGUUAUAGUACAUCAAGAACUCGGAAACACCAACGCAUCCUUUCAGCUUCAACGGUCAUUCCCUGAGUCCCUAAUAUAUUUGAGACGCAACAAUCUCCUUUCAGAAUCCCCAUUUAGUUUCAUCAGCACAUUUCCACAUCCAACAGCUGGGCCUCUGGAUGGGAUCAUUUACAUACAUUAGCAGCUGAAAGGAUCCAUCAUUUUCUUUACUCACAAUUAAAUUCUUGAACUGUGGUCUUGGUCUGUACGGUAAACUGAAAUUGUCUCCCCACCUUCCCUCAGAGAUAUCUCCAUCCUAAUUUCUGGAACCAGUGUUUGUGAAAAAGAUGUCUUUGCAGAUGUUGAGUUAAGCAUUUUGAGAUUACAUUAUCUUGGAUUAUGCCAGAGUCCCCCUAAAUGCCGUUGCGAAUGUCCCUGUAAGAGAGAGUUAGA